UCAUGAGGUAGGAUAAUACUUACCUGCUUGUCUAUUCAGAGGGCAGAUAGUAUUGGAUGAUGACUCGAGUUUGCAUGAUUUGUGACUAUAUCUCUGUGUUAUCAGUGCUCACAACACCUUAAUCACUACUGAU